rnacentral:rRNA from 1 species
GUGGGAACUUACCCUUUAGACUGGGACAACCACUGGAAACGGUGGCUAAUACCGGAUACGCCCUGAGGGGGAAAGCAGAAAUGCGCUAAGGGAGAGGCCCGCGGCAGAUUAGGUAGUUGGUGGGGUAAAGGCCUACCAAGCCUGUGAUCUGUAGCUGGUUUGAGAGGAUGAUCAGCCACACUGGGACUGAGACACGGCCCAGACUCCUACGGGAGGCUGCAGUCGAGAAUCUUCCGCAAUGGGCGAAAGCCUGACGGAGCGACGCCGCGUGGAGGAUGAAGGCCUUCGGGUUGUAAACUCCUGUCAGUCCGGAAGAAUCCCGCUAAGCGGGGUGACGGUACGGGCAGAGGAAG